CAUGCUUCUACCAACGGAUGAUGGGGUCUGACAAUAGAGCUGAUGGGAACAUUCUCACCGAAGAGGAAGAAGAAGAUUCUGAACUACAUUGAGGCCAUGGAGUGUGUUUAAUGAGUAAUACAGCUAACGGUGUUCCACAAGACUGCUACCACAGACCUUCAUGGGACCUAUCCAUUCUUUCUGGGUUGGCUUGAGGUUCUUCAGAGAGAAACUGAAAACAGGACACAGACCUAAAGCAGAGGACAACAGCUCUACAUUGACUCAGAGUAAUCCUCCAGUACGAC